AGAAGCAGAAAGACUGUUUGUGCAUGUGUGUGCCCCUAAUAUCCAUCCUCUCUCUAAUACAGGAUGGGAAAAAAGGUCUGCAGACCUUCCUACAAUGGGGCGCAAGUGCAAAGAACGAGGAGGCAGAGGAAGACUGGACUUGGGAAUCAGGACAGUUUUCUUGGGUUUAAAAAAGCUUGAAUGGCACUUCAAGACAUUUAUAUCAGACCUGGUUUAGUUUUAUUACCCUUUUUUAAAUGCUGCUGUGAUGUGCAACAAAAACUUGUCUUCCCUCUGCCUGGAACAGCUGAGAGAUGGAACUAAACCCCAAAGGAUUUUCUGCUCAGGGAUUAUAUAAUUCCUAGGAGCUGCCAUCAGGAAAUCUGUGAGCCGAAUCUAGUGGAGCUCUGCUGAACCGAGUUGAGUUCAACUGAACUGGGCCGAGUGCAGCCGAGCCGAGCCGAGCCCUGCCAAACCAAGCCCCCUCCUCUCAUGGCCAUUAAUUAGCGCGCCUGCAGUCACAGCCUAAUGAACUUCUGCCUGACCCUGCACUCCCGUUUGUGGUCGUGCUGGAAGGAAUGAGAAGGAGGUGUCUUUACAACCAAACUGUGGGUCUGCUGGUAGACACACCCGGAUACUGAUAGGUGAGAGAAGUAAUGAAUAGAAGUGUAAAUUGCAGAGGAAUUCCACUAAUUGACAGACUGUUGCUCACCCAAGCCAAUGCUGAAUUCCUGGAUUUGAAGAAAAAGAGCACAGACACAAAGAAGAAGGGGGGGAUACACAUCAGAAAGCCGCCUGGUUUAGGAAGUUUGGGAAGUUUGUACCUCUCAAGUACCUCAGCCGAUGGGAAAGACAGAGAGAAAUGUGUCUGAUAAAUUAGGAUAAAAA